GGGGUGCACAGAGUAGAUGAGAAUCUAAGUGUCACAAGUCUGGAAUACACUGUCUAACAUAGUCCGAAGCUAGAAAAACAAUGAAAAGAAAAGAUAGUGAAGGAGAAAACAAGGGCUGCGAAUGCCGGGCAACUACCUCAAAGUCUCCAAAGAUCAGCUGCACAAGGUAUCAACACCGAUCGUGUCCGAAAAUACCUGGAUCUGCACAUAAAGUGUAGGGUGUAGCGCGAGUACAACCAACUUACUAAGUAACAAUACUAAAUAAAAAAACUGAAAGAUAGUGACAAGCUACACAAUUAUAGUUCAAAUUUCACUAAUUUUCGACAUAGGAAAAAAUAUGCAUGCUUUCAAUUUCGACAAUUUAUGCCAAAUUAGCUAUCUUGUAUCGAAUUCGAGUAAAACAGAAUAUAACAUCUUUCAGAAAACUUUCAAACAGUGAUAUAUGGCAGCUAAGUGCAACAAUAAUGACAUCAAGAGCAUCCUCUCAGAGCAACAAUCACUCAAUCUUUCUGAAUAUAUCAGCACCUGGCACUCAACACUCGUACUCAAUAGGUACCUGCGCUCAGUGGGGGUGUACAAACUCCGGAGGGGCUCCUUCAGCCCAAGCGCUAUAUCGCUGCGGCGCGCAGCCCGAUCCCAUCAAUAUAUAAAUAGCCAUAAGGCUUGUUGCGGCGUACAACCCGAUCCACACAUAUACAACCCUAAGGCUCGUUGUGGCGUAUAACCCAAUCCACACAUAUACAGUCUUGAGGCUCGUUGCGGCGUGAAAUUCGAUCCACAUAUAUACAUAUCACUCAUAUCUCGGUGACUCAGGCCCUAACUCAGUCACCAACCUUUCCAGUCUCUCGAGCCCUCAAAAGUCAUGAAAAUCAGUCCAAACAACAAUAACAUGAUGUAUCAACAAAGAUUAAUAAGUAUGAGAUAUGAUAUACAAGAAGAACCUGAGACUGAGUGCAAAUAACAAAUAACAGGUAAUUCAAUAUAUACACGGCCUCUGUGGGCUCUAAUAGUAUCAACACAUGGUCUAAACAUGUUUUCUAACAUGAUUUGCAGUUAAAUUUCUAUAACACAUGGAGAAUAUAUAGCUAGCAACAAGUUAUUCAAAUUCACAAUUUUCAUGGAAUAGAUCAAGUCUCAAUUCCUAUGGUACAUGUCCACACGCCCGUCACCUAGCAUGUGCAUCACCUCCAAACUAAUCACAUAACAUACAAAUUUAGGGUUUCAUACCCUCAAAACCAAAUUUAGAAUUGUUAUUUACCUCAAUCUGAGCAAAAUCCCUACUCUAAUACUCCUUUGCCUCGCAAAUCAGCCUUUGAACGUCUCGAAUCUAGCCACAAACAAUACAAUACGAUUAACACGGGCUAAGGCAUCAAUUCCAUAAGAAAAAUACGAAGUUUUAAUCAAAAAUUCAAAAUCGGCUCAAAACCGGCCCCCGGACCCACGUCUAGGAAUACAACAAAACUCACAAAAAUCGAAAGUCCAUUCAACCUCGAGUCUAACCAUACUAAAUUUACUCCAAUCCGAUAUCAAAAUCCCUUUCAAAACCUCAAAAAUCUAGCCUAAGAACUUUCAUUCAUUUUCCCCAAUUUUCCACCCAAAAUCACAAAUUAAAUGAUGGAAUCAAAGGCAUAAUCAUGGAAAUUGACCAAAAUUAGAUAGGAAUCACUUACUCCAAACACCCAUGCAAGAAUCUCUCCAAAAAUCGCCUUCUACCGAGUUUCUAAUUCAAUUUUAUGUUAUGAACUCAAAACUCUCGUUUUUGAAUCUUUUAUUCUGCGCAGAUAUGCCUUCAUCGCGAUUGCGGAACAUAACUCGCGAUCGCGAAGCAGAACUAUGCUGCCGCACAAAUUAACUCUACGCGAAUGCAGAAUUCUCCACGUGAACGCGGUAAACUAACCCUCUGGCUUAGGCGAUCGCGAAUGACCUCACACAUUCGCGAUGAGCAAAACGCGUGGUCCCAGCUCCUACCUCACUUCCUCUUCGCGAACGCGGCCUAGCCCACGCGUUCGUGAUGCACUGAUACUUAAAUCUACGCGAUUGUAGCUCUCUACUCGCGAACGCGUAGGGAAAAUUCCAUCAGUGACCUAUUUAGCCUACGCGAUCAUGGACCUGCCCCCGCGAUCGCGUAUAAGGAAACUAGAUCAGCUAAAAACUUGCAAACUCAACUUCAGUAGUCGCCCAACUUCAAUUCUUGACCCGUUAACCACCCGAAACUCAUCCAAGGCCCCCGGGACCUCAACCAAACAUGCCAUCAAGUCCCAUAACAUUAUACGAACUUUGUCGAACCUUCAAAUCACCUCAAACAAAAUCAAAAACAUGAAUCGCACUCCAAUUCAAGCCUAAUGAACUUUGAAACUUCCAAUUUCUACAAACGACGCCUAAAUCUAUCAAAUCACGUCCGAUUGACCUCAAAUUUUGCACACAAGUCACAAAUGACACAACGGAUCUGCUCCAAUUUCCGAAAUUGGAAUCCGACCUCGAUAUCAAAAAGUCCACUCCCGGUCAAAUUUAAUCAAAAAAUUCAACUUUUUCUAUUUCAAGCCUAAUUCCACUGCAGACCUCUAAGUCACAAUCUGGACACACUCCUAAGUCCGAAAUCAUCCAACGGAGCUAACAGAACCAUCAAAACUCAAUUCCAGGCCGUUUACACAUAAGUUAACAUCCGGUAAACUUUUCCAACUUAAGCUUUCCAUUAUAAGGCUAAGCAUCUCAAUUCAUUCUGAAGUCCUUCCGGACCCGAACCGACUAACCCGAUAAGUCGUAAAACAAAAGUAAAGCAUAAAAUGAGCAGUAAAUGGGGAAACAUGGCUACAACUCUCAAAACGACUGGCCAUGUCAUUACAUCCUCCCUCUCUUAAACAAACGUUCGUCCUCGAACGGGUCGAGAAGUAUACUUGGAGUCUCAAAUAGGUGUGGAUAUCUGAUUCGCAUCUCCUGCUCGGUCUCCCAAGUAUCCUCCUCAACGGGCUAACCUCUCCACUGCACCUUUAGUGAAGCUAUAUAAUUUGAUCUCAACUUUCGAACCUGCCCAUCCAAAUUGCCCACAGACUCCACAUCAUAAGUCAAAUCACCAUCCAACUGAACUGUACUGAAAUCCAAAAUAUGAGACGGAUCGCUGACAUACUUUCGGAGCAUAGAAACAAGAAAUACUGGAUGCACACUCGAGAAACUAGGUGGCAAGAAAAGCUCGUAAGCCAUCUCUCCAAUCCUCCGAAGCACCUUAAUCGACCCAAUAACUCGAGGGCUAAACUUGUCCUUCUUCCCAUAUCUCAUAACACCCUUCAUGGGUGAAACCUUCAACAAGACUUUCUUCCCAACCAUGUAAGCAACAUCACAGACCUUCCUGUUGGCAUAGCUCUUUUGUCUAGACUGCGCCAUGCAAAGCCACUCCUGAAUCAAUUUAACCUUGUCCAAUGCAUCCUAAACCAAGUCAGUACCCAAUAGCCUGGUCUCGUCCGGCUCAAACCAACCUACCGGAGAUCUACACCGCCUCCCAUACAAAUCCUCAUACGGCACCAUCUGAAUGAUGGACUGGUAGCUAUUGUUGUAGGAAAACUACGCGAGUGGCAGAAACUGAUCCCAUGAAGCCCCAAAAUUAAUGACACAAGCGCGUAACAUGUCCUCUCAUAUCUGAAUAGUGCGCUCAGACUGUACGUCUGUAUAAGGGUGAAAUGUUGUACUCAACUCAACCUGAGUGCCCAACUCUCGUUGCACGGCUCUCCAAAACUGCGAUGUAAACUGCGUGUAUCGAUCUGAAAUGAUGGACACUGGCACACCGUGAAGGCAGACAAUCUCUCCGAUGUAAAUCUCAGCCAACCGCUCUGAAGAAUAGGUAGUACCAACUGGAAUAAAGUGCGCGAACUUGGUCAGCCGAUCUACAAUCACCCAAAUAGCAUCGAACUUCCUCGAAGUCCGUGGGAGCCCAACUAAAAAAUCCAUAAUGAUCCACUCCUACUUCCACUCUGGAAUCUCGAUCCUCUGAAGCAAUCUACCCGGUCUUUGAUGCUCAUACUUCACCUGCUGAUAGUUAAGGCACCGAGCUACAAACCCCACUAUAUCCUUCUUCAUUUGCUCUACCAAUAGUGCUGCCUCAAGUCCUGAUACUUCUUCGCGGUACUCGUAUGAAUGGAAUACCGCACACUAUAGGCCUCCUCAAGAAUUAACUCACAUAACCAAUCCACAUUGGGAACACAAAUCCGACCCUGCAUCCUCAAUACCCCAUCAUCCCCAAUAGUAAUAUCUCUGGCAUCACCGUGCUGAACCCUAUCCUUAAGGACAAGAAAAUGAGUAUCAUCAUACUGGCACUCUCUGAUACGAUCAAAUAAGGAAGAUUGAGAAACCACACAAGUUAGGACCCGGCUGAGCUCCGAAAUAUCCAGUCUCACGAACCGGUUGGCCAAGGACUGAACAUCAAUUGCAAGAGGUCUCUCACUAUGGGAUUGAAUGCAAGACUACCCAUACCCUUUCUACUCAAGGCAUCGACCAUCACAUUGACCUUCCCGGGGUGAUACAGAAUGGUGAUAUCAUAGUCCUUUAGUAGAUCCAACCAUCGCCACUGCCUCAAAUUUAGAUCCUUCUAUUUAAACACGUGUUGGAGGCUCCGAUGAUACGUAAACACCUCGCAAGACACACUGUAGAGAUAAUCCUCCAAAUCUUUAAUGCAUGAACGAUGGAAGCUAACUCCAAAUCAUGAACAAGGUAUUUCUUCUCAUGAUGCUUCAACUGACGUGAAUCAUAAGCAAUCACUCUACCCCCCUGCAUCAAGACACACCCAAUACCAAUCCGAGAAGCAUCACAAUAUAUUUUGUAAGAACCUGAAGCUGAAGGCAACACUAGAACUGGAGUUGUGGUCAAGGCAGUCUUGAGCUUCUGAAAGCUCUCUUCACACUCAUCCGACCACCUAAAAGGAGCACCUUUCUGGGUCAAUUUGGUCAAGGGAGAUGCAAUAGAAAAGAAACCCUCCAUGAAGUGACAGUAAUAAUCGGCCAAGCCGAGAAAGCUCCGAAUCUCCAUAGCUAAGGACGGUCUGGGCCAACUUUAGACUGCCUUUAUCUUCUUCAGAUCCACCUGAAUGCCCUCACUGGACACCACGUGCCCCAAGAAUGCCACUGAAAUGAGCCAAAACUCACACUUGGAGAACUUGGCAUAAAGUUUCUCCUCUCUCAACCGCUGCAACACAAUCCUCAAAUGCUGGGCAUGCUCCUCCCAACUACGAGAGUACACUAGGAUAUCAUCAAUGAAUACAAUAACAAACAAGUAAAGCUAAGGCUGAAACACGUUGCUCAUCAGAUGUAUGAAUGUUGUUGGGGCAUUUGUCAGCCUAAAAGACAUCACAAGAACUCAUAAUGACCAUAACAGGUCAUAAAUGCUAUCUUUAGAAUGUCCGAGUCCCGAAUCUUCAGCUGGUGAUACCAGUCCUCAAAUUAAUCUUGGAGAACACCCUCACUCCUUGAAGCUGGUCAAAUAGAUCAUCAAUACGCGGUUAAGGAUACAUGUUCUUGAUUGUGACUUUGUUCAACUGCAUAUAAUCAAUGCACAUUCUCAUAGUACCAUCCUUAUUCUUUACAAACAACACCGGUGCACUCCAAGGUGACACACUAGGCCUGAUAAACCCCUUAUCAAAGAGUUCCUAAAGUUGCUCCUUCAAUUCCUUCAACUCAGCUAGUGUCAUGCGAUAUGGUGGAAUAGAAAUGGGUAAGUGCCCGGCACCAAGUCAAUACCAAAGUCAAUAUCUCUAUCGGGCAGCAUGCCGAGCAAGUCUGCAGGAAACGCGUGCUGAAACUCCCGUACCACCGAAACAGAAUCAAUAGUGGGAGUAUCAGCACUAAUAUCCCUCCCAAAGGCCAAAUAAGAUAAACAACCUUUCCCAACUGUCCGCUGGGCCUUCAAAUAUGAAAUCACUCUAUUGGGAACAUAGUGUAAAGAACCUCUCCACUCAAUCCUCGACAACCCCGGUAUUGCCAAUGUCACGGUCUUAGCGUGAUAAUCUAAAACCGCAUGACAUGGAGACAACCAAUCCAUACCAAAGAUCACGUCGAAAUCAACCAUACUAAGCAACGAGAGAUUAACUCUAGUCUCUAGACUCCCAAUAAUCACCACACACGACCGAUAUACACGGUCCACAAUAAUAGUAUCGCCCACCGGUGUAGAGACAUGAACAGAUAAAACUAAGGACUCACAGGGCAUAUCCAGAUAAUGAGCAAAAUAUGAUGAGACAUAUGAAUAACUGGAACCAGGAUCAAAUAAAACAGAUGCAUCCCUAUGGCAAACUAAGACAAUACCUGUGAUCACUACAUCUAAAGCAACAACAUCUGGUCUGGCAAGAAUAACAUAUGUCGCGCCCCAUUUUCUCACGAAAGCGGGUUUCGACGUGUGACAACUCUUUUAAAGGAAGAGGGUAUUAAAAGAGAAGAGUCACAACCUGACGAUUUUUAAGGCGUUAGGGCACCUAUUAUGAAAAUAUCUCUGUUUGAAUAGUCAAUGCCACCAAAGGUCGGGUAAGGGCUCAAAUUACCUCAAAGAGAAGGUGUUAGGCACUCCUCGAGGUCCAUAACUGUGGGUCCCGGCCGAACUUAAGACUAUGCGGAUUAUGUAAUUAGUCUAAGUGGUCAAAUAAACAAAGAGAAUAUAAAAAUAAAAAAUCUCAUUAUAGCAUAGUAAGAAUUGGUACAAAUCAUUAAUAUUACAAGGAUGCGACUACAAUAGUCUACAUAAAUGACUAAGUGUGAAUAAAAAGUAUAUAAAGGAGGGGGAAUCCUAAGUUUAUUAGCCUGAAGGAUCACCCCGUGCAACAUAAAUAAUACUUUGCAACUCCUUUUAGAUAGGAGUUGCUCAUAUUAUUCAGCGAGUACAAACUAUCAUCUCAUGCUACCCGAUUACUAUGUUGAAGUUGUUUACCUAAAGCAUUCUAAUUCAAUUCUAGUCGCGUCCUAUGUGUGCACUACUCGUCCUAUGCCUAUGGUCCAGGAGGCUUUGGAACUCUAUUUGGGUGUCUCUAGACUUAUUUAGGCUGCUCAAAAAUGAUAAAACUAAUCGUGCAUUAAAAAACAAAGAGGACUGCAUAGAAUAGCAAAGAGUGGCUCAUAUUAGCCUCCGCACAUAAACAAAGAAGCACGCAGACUGAUUUUUAGAUUAAGUAAUAGAAUAUUUUGAGCUCUGAGACUUGAAAUCCUUGUUCAUAUAGGCAUGAUCUCUAUAUGAUUCCAAUAUCAAAUAGGCAAUGCUGCAUUUUUUAGGCCAAUGUACGGAUAGAUUAAAUCAUUAUAAGUCCUAUAGAUAUGGUUUCUAAGUGAUUCUGAUUUCUAGCAAUGUACGGGCAACAUAUUUGCAGAUUACAAACCUAUAUGCAUGAUUUCUAGAUUGCUGGCGCAAAGAGGCAGUGAAACAACUCCAGAACCCUGAACUACCAACACUUAUUUUAUAGAAAAUUCCUUAGGUGGGGCGACAAUGUCCUAGAAGCAUGAUAUCUAAUCGUUGGCAAUUGAUUUUAUUGUUUUUAUCCCUAUUGGCAUGCUUUCUGAACAACACAAAUGAAUGGAGCAGUUGAUUGAUUUUUUAAUCCUAUAGGAAUGAUAUCUAGAUGAGCAGUGCAAUGAUAGUUGACGCAACUAAUAGAUUAGUCAUUCGAAGUCCUAUAGGCAUGACAUCUAGGUGAGUAAAAUAUUGCAUUGUUACGUCCUAUACACAUGCUAUCUAAGGAAACAUAGUAGUGGAAACUGGUACGAAAAAUACUUGAAAGAGAAUAUGUUUAAGUGAUGUGUCUGUGUGUGACUCCUAUAGACAGGCUUUCUACUCAUUAAAUCAAAAACAUGUAAAGCAAAGAGCGAAUAGACCACAUAGAUCCUAUAGGCAUGCUUUCUACCCAUUUAUGCGAGAAUUAGAGUACCCUACCCCCUUUUUACUAAUUUGCUCAUAUGUUUUUUUCAUAAAUUAUUAAAUACCCAAAAAAUAAUGAAUACAAGUGCGAACAUUACAUAUUAGAAGAUUACAGGUGCAAUACACAUAGUAGACCCAAAAGAAUAUAACCCAGUAACACCUGGGCCUUCAGCGAGCUUCACCUUUCACACGAAUAGUAAACCCAAGACCCAUCAUAUCUAAAGUGUGAGAGUGUAUCAACUACACUCUCAUGGCCCUACACGAAAUCUUACCAGAAUUAGACAGGAGAAACAUAUAUAGUAACCAAUUGGCAGUUCUAAAGUCUAUUAGCAAUGAUUAUAAUUCUUAGAAGCUAAGGGAACAAUACUAGUUAAAUAAAAGGACUUGAGCAUACCAACUGGAUAGACAACUUUGGCAUAGCUAGUUCGACAUAGAAGAACUAACAACCAUAUUGAACUAUCAUUCGACAAAGGGAAGGGUAUAGCAUACUGACACAAUUACUCAUUAAGAAGGUUGAAAAGGCAAAUCUAUUGAGUUAACAGGACAAACACACACAUGUCAAUUUACCAGAAACCAAGAUUAGCACGAGACAUUAACCAAAAUAGGUCAGAAAAAGACUUUAAACGAGUGAGCCUUAUUUGAAAUAAUUAUAGUUAGAGGGAUAUACAAUUGCACAUGAAAAUGACCAUAAGCGGCAUCACAAUAAACUAAUGGCAAGGUUUACUCAUGAUAAUAUAUAGCACUUAAGGGGAAUGAGACAGGAAAGCAUUGCUAUUUGCACUAAUUGCUUAGAUAGAAGGGAAACUAACAUAGCAAUUUGCCCUAGAGGCCAUUCUAAACCAAACACGCAACAAUACUUAAAUGGAAUGGGAACAUGCUUUAGCUAAUCAAUACAGCCUCAGAGAUCUAUCAUAUUGGGCAAGAAGAACUCAAUAAGGUCUAGAACACAAACAUAGAAAUACAUGACAAGAUAGAGAACACACAUUAGUCUAGAAAUACCUAAGAAAGUCGGAAUCUAUUCCAAUAAUGAAAGCAUCUUAUAUCUACUAAACUCAACUAAUAAAGAACAUGGAAUGGCCGGGGAUUAAUUAUAAAACAAUAUCAUGACAUAUAGUAACAGGGAUCCAUGAAUAACAAGAAAAUUGAAUCAUACUUAUAGAAUUUAAACAACAUUAGCACAUAGAACAUACGUCAUAGACAAAUAGAAAAGAGAAUAGUUGACAUUGUAAGAGUCAAGGACACUAACCAGUAGCAAAGUUAAACAAACAAAAGAAUGAGGAGUUAGAAUACUGGUAGCAAGAGAACCCAGAUCCCCGGUGCUUUAGAGUUCACAAGAGCCUCGAGAAUGGCUCCGAGCAGUGCUCGCACCGGAUGAGGCUGUUUUACAAUAUUAUGGCCUUGUCUUUCAGCCAGUCAAGGAUUCAACAAUUUCAGAAAAUAUUCAAAUGUCUCAGAAGAAGUGAACGAGUGAGAGAAGAGUGUAGUGAGUGUAAUAGUAGUGGAAAUUAGGUUUUCUUUCAAGGGGAAAUUGGGGAGGGGUUUAUAUAGUGUUCAAAUUGAGCGGAUGAACAUGAAAAUCAUCAGUCAAACACAAGAAAGGAAAGAAUAUAUCACAUGCAAUCAAAAUCAGUAAGGAGAAAGGAAAAUCCCAAACCUAGUUGGGUCCAACGACCUUAAAUCGAACCAAUAAUGCAAGAAUCGUCCAUUGUACAGUAUAUACAGACGAAAGAUCGUCCAGAUCUUCACAAAAUUAGAGUAAAUCAGGCCCGUUCUUGAAAGGUAAUUCUUGCCAAAAAUAGGGCAAGAACUAAGUAACACCAUAGACAUGCACAUAAUAGUAAGGUAUCACAAAAUAGGUAAGUAGAUCAUGGAUUGAUUCCAUGAUUAGGUUGGAAACGAAGAGGAGUAAGGGUAUUGCAGCUAGGGUUUCUCAAAGACGAGUGGAGUGGAGAGGUUUCAGAGGCGAAUGUUAG
rnacentral:lncRNA from 1 species